AAUAGGGUUGUAGGGUUGUGUUACUUUAGCCGGACUGAGGCAGUGACUGACAACGUGACGUUGUUGUUUCCGGGUCUCAGAGGAACCCAGCUCAGGCAGCGUGCAGACGUGUCAGAGCAGUGUGGUGAAGUGGCUGGUGCCCUGUCUCCAUGUGUUUGUCAGUGUGGGACCUGUGCUGACUGACUGAUGUUAUUGGUGUGUUGUGUCAAGAGACGGUGCGGCAAUGUUGUUGAAUCAGUAAAGGGAUCCCAACUCCGCAGAACUGGUUCCUUCACUGAAUAACAUUACAACAUCUAACUGAUACAAUUCCGGGUCUCGGAAGCGGUACAGGGCUCCCAAGGUCCUCCUGGCUUGCUGGACCCGGUUCGUCACGUGGGAGGUAUAUCCACGUCCUGAGAUUUGUAGUCCCAGGAGCCUCCCACGUGGGCUGAAGUCGACCGGGGCCUCGUUGACCAGCAGGGGUGCUGGAUUUUGGGUGGCCAGGGGGACGACCGUGAAGUUAUUGAGGUUCGUCUUGAUCCUCCAUUCCUCCUCGAAUACGUUGACUCUGGCGAUUUCCC